rnacentral:lncRNA from 1 species
UCAAAAUUCCUCCCAGAGAGGCGAGCAGGAAGCAGACUGAAGCGCUGAUUGUAAAAUUUGCAUCCUCUUUUAGCUGGUUAUCAUCCCGAAGGACGUCGCGCAUUACAGCCUCCUUGUCUGUAAGAUCUUCCACCCGAGACCCACCACUUCUCGAGAGACUGACGACGCAGGGGUUAGAAAAACACCAAGGGGGUGAAGAACACUGGGGUCCUAGGAGGAGCACAGAUGGACAGACGGAAGGGCAGCCACGGGCAGCGCCUCCUGGAUGAUCGGGUUCAGAGCCCUGCUAGGUGUGCACAGGCGCUGCUGGAGUAUGGCGCCUCGGUGCAGCGAGCUGGGGGCGCGGGCCAGGACACCCCUCUGCACGUGGCGGCGCAGCUC